UUAAGUUAAGUAAUAAAAUGCACAAGCUUUUGAUGCUUGUUUGGUUAAUUAAAUUUAACAACUUAAA
rnacentral:tRNA from 1 species